rnacentral:misc_RNA from 1 species
CAGAGUUCAUGCCCUCACGGGUAGAUCUCCCACCCUUUGAAUACUAUACCUCUGUUGCUUUGGCGGGCCGCUCCGGCUACCGGCUCCGGCUGGUGAGUGCCCGCCAGAGGACCCCAAACUCUGAAUCUACGUGUCGUCUGAGUACUAUAUAAUAGUUA